ensembl:lncRNA
GUUUAAACGUCACAGGCAAGUUAGAGAUCUUCCGUACUGAGAACCAAAUUCAUCCAGCAAGUGUGUUGUUGAUGUCACUAUGAGGAAGUGAGCAGGAAGUCAGUGCUGUAUUCAUCUUUGUUACUGCCUCACUUGUGAACGUGAGAGCAAGAGUAGAGACUGAGAGAGACGGAGAAGCACGAUGGCUGAGUUCAGAUGGAUUCAAAUGUUUCUGUUCCUGAUACUGACGCUUCAGUUUAAAGCAGUGACUGGACAACAUGGCCCCACAUUCCUGAUCAGACUUGGUGAUGAGGUCACUUUGCCUUGUCAAAAUGUGACAGUUGGUCAGCCUGAGUGUAACAGAACUGACUGGAUCUUCAGACGUUUGAAUGUUGCUGACGCAGUCAGGCUGAUUCAUCUUGGUUUGAUUGAAGAAAAGCACAAAAAUACAUCAGACAGACUGAGUGUUACAGCAAACUGUUCUCUGGUCAUAAAGGACAUCACAGUUCAUGAUGCUGGUCACUACACCUGCAGACACUACACAUCACAAGACCAACAACACUGUGGAAAAUCCUGUUCUUCUCUGUCCGUCAUCAACAUGACUGAACAUGAGAACAAUGGUACAGUCAUCUUGUCCUGCUCUGUGUUGGAGUAUGAUCCAUGUACACACACAGUACAGUGGAUCUAUGAGGGUGAAGAGAAAUCCUCAGACAUGCAGAUAUCACCACCAGGCUGCACUGCCACUGUGACAUUUACAACAUCUCACCUUAAUCAGAAGUUUUUUGAGUCAUUAAAGUGUAAUGUGAUGAAUAUGAACAAUGGGAAAGUGCAGCUGUUUCCUUUCAGCCGUCAGUCCUCAGGUGGGACAACAGAUUCAGAUUUUCCAUCAUUGUUGAGAUGCAUCAUUGUGUCUGUGGGUUUAGCAGCGCUCUUAAUAUCUGCUGUUACAGUCAACAUGUGGGCAAAGACUAAAGUAAACAAACCGCAAAAGGAAAAAAGAACUGUGCAGAAUGAUGAAGAUGACGGUACAGUGACCUUUGAAAACUCUCGAGACCCUUCUGCUUCUGUCAGACUCCACUGAUCAUUAACAUCAACUCAGCAAAGAAACAAGUUCUGGAAUAACUGCCUGCUCUUCCUCCACCACUCACCAAACCCAGCAGCUGGAACCAUUCACCCUCACCUGCAUUUUCAAAGUCUUUGUCAUAAAACUCUCAACCUGAUUCCAGUGUUACAGCCUGCUUUAAAGUCCACUUCUUCUGUUUAACAAUAAUAAUAAUCAAAAAGCAAAUGUAAUUUCAAACCUGCAUAUAAAUCUGAAUGAAACAGUUUGAUCUCACCUUCAUCCAACAUGAACAUGUAGAUGCAUCAUUUACCUGUCAGAGUCCGAAUGACUGAUAGUUCUUAAAUCAUCCGUCACUCUGCGUUAAGUGAUCUGUAACAACUUGUUUUUGUUAUAACUCGUGAAAAUAUAACUGAAAGUAUUUAUGAAGCAUUUUCUAUCAUGUGUGUACAUUUGUGUGUGGACAGCUCACAUUCCCAUAUGGAAAAGACAUAUAUAUAUAUAAAUCUUAUAAAGUUUGUAUCUGUCUUGUGUGAAACUUGUAUGAAAAGCAUACAAGAGUGAAAACAGAUAUAAGAUUGCUUGAAAAAUCAUAUAAAUGAAACGUGUAUGUUUUGGAUACUUACUAAAACAAUAUAUGAAAGUAAUGAGAAAGUGGCCACUUUCAUGAGUAAAUCAUAUAAGCUUUAUAUGAUCCAUUAUAUGAAGUAGGCCACAUCUUAUGCAAGUCUUUUAUAAGUUUUCACUAUUUCUUUUCCAUAUGGGUUGUGACAGCAAUGUAACUGAUGACAAGAGUUUAACUUCACUGUGUGCUUUAUUGCCAUUUUGCCCUCAUUAUUAUGUUUUACUAUAAAAGUAUCACAUGAAAUACUUAACUGCCUGUUCUGUUUAAAUACAUUUACAUUUUUAUGAGCACACUGGUAGGAUGCUCAGCUAUAAAAGGCACAUUACUGUGAAAUAGUUUUAAAAGGUCAGUGGCAGUGACAGUCCAAUCACAUUAACCUGUGAAACAUCCACACCUCGAUUAGUUAUGACCAGAUUUUAGCAAAAAGAAUUUCCUGUUUCAUGUUCAGUUCACCAGACACGACCUAUGCAGCUGUUUUUAUGUCAUCAUGUAUGUUUUUGGUUUUAUCUACUGAAAUUAGGGUAAUUUUAGUAUCAAAAAGCUGCAAAGUUAACUGAACCUUGUCACCUUCACAUUAUAGUCAAAUAAUAAUAAUAAUAAUAACAAUAAUAAUAAUUAACACAUGGUUGAAAAAUUUUAUUUCAACUUCCAUUAAUCAUUGUAAUGAAUGCAUUCUACCUGUACUUGAAACUGAGCUGAUUUUGUGUCUAAAUCCAAAAAGAAAAAUGAGCAGCGU